rnacentral:ncRNA from 2 species
AAUCUAACGAGUUGAUAAGGUGCCAUGCAGGCUUAAUAGGGAAUCUGGUGCAAGUCCAGAACUGUCCCCGCAACUGUAUGUGUGACGAAUUGAGGAAAUCCACUAUAUGUAAUAUAGGAAGGGCUCAUAGUAGGAAGAAGCACAAGUCAGGAGACCUACCUUAACUCGUAAAUAGUU